CGCGCACUGAGCACCAAGCUGCUGCCAAAAAACACUUUCUUGGCCGAUAAUCUCACUUUUUUUUCCUGCUUCUUUGUGUCGCAGGUAUUUAAAAACAGCAACAAGCCGAAUCAGUCGCGACUUUUCCCCUUAACGCUCCGAGACUAUUUUUUUCCCCUUUUAAAGUCUGAUUAAACAAAACAGAUUUUUUUUUGCACAGACAGGAAAAGAAGCUUUGAUUUUUAUUAUCAAUUUUUUUUAGAACGGUAAGAAAAAUUCUCCAGAUCUGAUCAAGAUACGCGUGUGUAUAAAUGUUGCGCAUUAAACGGAUAGAUGUGUUUUUGGCAGGAGAGAAUGUUCUGCAAGAGAAAGUGAAGGGUUUCAGUGUGAGCUCUUGUAGAAGUGGAUAAAUAAGUUUGUCCGUUUUCAGCUUGUCUUUCAGAUCAGAGCGAUCCUCAGUGGAAGAACGGAGUGUUAUGGAGAGGGACAUGCACGCCAAAUGUUUCUAAACACGCGUACGGUCAUUGAAGACCCACCCUCACCCCUUCCUGCUGCUGCCUGCACCUCCUGAUCCCCCAUCACCAGAGAGAGGGGUAUACAAUUUCUGAAUGAAGAUUAAACUAUCAAUGAUGUACGAGCGAUCUUGGAUAAAAGGUCAGUACUCACUAUAUCAAAUACACACUCUUGGACUGUAUAUGUACACUCAUGUUCACACCCUUUGGACAUGUUCUGACCUAUUAGUCCAUUUGGAGACACAUUCGGUUCAUUUUCUAUUCAUAAAUAUCAAUUUAAGUGGAUCAGGAAAGAAGAGGGGUGUGUUGCAAUAGAAACCUCUUUCACAGCUGCUUUCUAUUUUAUAUGGUGCUAAAUAUUUAAUAAAUUAAAGAAAUGAAUAAAUAAAUAUUUAUUAAAUAUUUAUUUGAAUAUUUAUUUAUUUAUUUCUUUUUCUUUAUUAAUCACUUUAUCCUCAUCAGAGUUUUAUUGAACACAGAGUCCAUUGACUGGAACACUUACUGUUAGGUAUUAACACACCUUGGAUUGGACACCGGGGCAUUAUGCACACUCAGUUUAAACUAGCUAAUCAACCUACCUGAAUGUUAUCGGUAGGAAUGAAACUAAAGAACAAGGAGGAAACCCACAUGGACACAGGAGAUAGUAACACAAACUCAGGAUAGAAUCAAGGAUGCUAAAGCUGUGUGGUGGCAACACAGCCCUCUGGGCCACUUAAUAAAUAAAUAAUAAAUAUAUUUGAUAGCUAGCUUGUAGCUAGUUUGGCUUGAUAGCAAACUAGUGUUAAUUUCGUCACUUAUUUUUAAUUUAGUCUUUAGUGCCAAAUGUCCUUGUUAGUUUUAGUCAUAUUUAGUCAUUCACAUAUCUUUUUUUGUUAGUCAAGUUUUAGUCGACUAAAAGUCUCUUCAUUUUAGUCUAGUUUUAGUCAAAAGAAAACUCAAGGUAUCUUAGUCAAGUUUUAGUCGAAUAAAAGUCUUUUAAUUUUAGUCUAGUUUUAGUCAAAAGAAAACUCAAGGUAUCUUAGUCAAGUUUUAGUCGACUAAAAGUCUUUUAAUUUUAGUCUAGUUUUAGUCAAAAAUUGUAGUCUUUUUUAAAAAUAACACAAUAUUACUGAGAUUAUUACUGAUAAACAUUUCAGUAAAAAAAGUGUUUCAUAUCUCAAACAUUGGUUAAAUGUCAUAAUUACCUGACAAAAUACACUUGUUGAAUGAUUUUUGUUGAAUGCAAAGUUAAACGUGUCUGGUUUUCAAUUUCUGAUUUAGGAGACACAUUCACAAAUGAUUAACUUGUUCUGAAGAGUAUUUUAUUUUGACCAACACAAUUCAAAAGCUGGGGCCCAACAGACUCUGACUGACAACUUAAGUUAUAAAGGUUUUUAAAACUGUUUUGGUUGCCUUGUGUCUCAUGUUUCUGUUCAAAUCAGAAAUAAAAUAAAUAUACUCAGAAAAACUGAAAAGAAUAGGCCUACUUUACUGUGGGCCUAAAAUACAACCUAGUUACAGUCCGCGAAUCACAAAAGUAUCAGUGAGAAGUUGAGAACACUCGUUUAAACAGUGUAUACACUCGAACUUGACUGCACAUCACAUUUUUUACUUUAUUGAUACUGCUUUUAAUCGUAAUGCAAAGACCGGUCAUCGGGACAUAAGCUGUCAUGUACAAUAAAAGAGCCUGCGCAGCGACAGGAAAUAUAAUUUAACACAAAAAGCCUAGACGGUGGACUUUUUUUUGUGGAGUUUUUUUUUUGUAGACGAAAAUGAAGAGCGAUUUUAUCUUAGUUUUUAUUUUAUAAAAAACAUUUUCGUCUCGUCUUUUUUCGUCAACAAUAAUGCAUGUUAAUUUAGUCUUAGUCAGUGUUUUUGGACAGUGGUGCAGUCUUGUCAUCGUCUCGUCUUAGUCAUGAAAAAAAGGUUGUUGACAAACAUAUUUCGUCUCGUCUCGUCUGACGAAAUUAACACUAUAGCAAACAGCAAAUAAGUCCAUUUCUUGUUUUUAAACAAUUAUAAUUGUACAGCUGAUACAAAAUAAAAAAGUGCGGUAUUUGUAUAUGUAAUAAGUCAGCACAAGUCAGACUUUUUAAAUCUCCUCAUUUAAAUUGCAAUAUGAUUACGUAUACCUUUCGAAGUUCACCCUUUACUCUGAACCUUGUGUAUUUUUACCCUUACGAUCACACUCUUGUGUAGUAUACAUCAAUUCUUAAGCUAUUUAUUUUAUACUUUCUCACUAACAUUUUUAGACAUCUUCGUUUAUGCAGCUGAGUCAGGUGACAGUUCUAAAAGCAGACAUAAACAAAAUAGUGAGUUCACUUUAGCUUCCCAAAUAUUAGACACAACAUAGACAACAGAUCAUGUACACAACAACAGACGUGUUGUCUGUCUGAUUCUUUAUGACACAGCACAUUCCUGUUGUUGCACAAAGUCCCUCUCAUCUUUUUGUCUUUCUACUUCUUUUUUCUUUCAAGCACACACACACACACACACACACACACACACACACACACAUCAUGAUCACCAUCUCAUCAUCAUGACGUGCACACAUCCACCAUCAGAGGGCUGCCUAGCCUGAAGUGGGCUUUGACAGCACUGGGUAGGCAGAACACAGGAAGCACAUUUAGGUAUCAGCUCCUGUCGUCUACACCUUUUCACAUCCCAUCACGGUUACAUCCCUCUAUCGGCUCUCUCGCUCUUCAGCAGAGAUGAAAGUGUGGCCUGCUCCACUUUGCUAGAGCUAAAUGACACGUCACAAUACGAACACGUGCAGACGAGCAAAUGAAAUAUUUACAGAAAGAACAAAAACUAGAGAGAGAGAGAGAGAGAGAGAGAGAGAGAGAGAGAGAGAGAGAGAGAGAUGGUGGCACACAAGGAAAUGGAAAUGAAGAGUAAGAAAGGGAAUCAAAUGGAGGAAUGAAGAGGCCUUGGUAAAUAAUUGUAAGCGUGGUUGAGAAGGCAGGGGAUCAGGACUGAACAGGAUAUGGGUGGCACAUCGAAUGCAUUUCCAUCCACACCAGCUCAUGCUUUAAAAUCCAAGCGUUGCUGUAUUUAUGACUGUAAAAUAUCAUCUCGCUGGAUUAACGCAUGCUUACUGCUUUGUGGUGCUACAAAAAGCACAAUAUAUAAUGUUUAUUACUCCUCUGUACAGAAACCUGACAUUAACACCCUACUGUCAAAGUUUAAUAGUUUUCUCCAGAAAAUUGGUGUCACUGGUUGCAUGUGUUCAUCUGGAUUUAAGGGUUAGGAAAAGUUGAAACAUAAAUGUGUGUGUGUUUGUGUGUGUGUGUGAGUGUGUGUGUAUUGGGGUAUUAGACUCUGUGCUUUGCCCCACUCACAAAUCCUAAUUAUUUUCUUAGUCAGCCGGCUGUGCAGAGUUGGCCAGCAAGUUGUGCAAAUGCUUAUUUAAGCUGUGUAACUUACAUCCAUAUGGUUUUCAUCAUCAUAAAGAACCGCUUGAGCAGCUUAUGUUUUCAUGAGGCCGAGGCUUUGGCCUGUCUGUCAAACACACAGCACUUCAGAGCUACAAGCUUUCCCCUG